AACGUAGGAGGCGAGCGUUAUUCGGAUUUACUGGGCGUAAAGCGCGUGCAGGCGGUUCGAUAAGUUGGAUGUGAAAGCUCCUGGCUUAACUGGGAGAGGUCGUUCAAUACUGUCGGGCUAGAGGAUGAGAGAGGGAGGUGGAAUUCCGGGUGUAGUGGUGGAAUGCGUAGAUAUCCGGAGGAACACCAGUGGCGAAAGCGGCCUCCUGGCUCAUUUCUGACGCUAAGACGCGAAAGCUAGGGUAGCAAACGGG
rnacentral:rRNA from 1 species